AAAUAUAGGAUAAAGGAUGUCUUCCCACAGUGCCACAUAUGAAGCUGACCACAUGAUCAUUGGAGAAGUUCUUACCUUUAGAUCAGCGUAUCUCAUAUGUGUCUCUACUAGUUCAUGUUACCAUUAUCAGUGCAUCUCCCGGAACUUCAAUCAAGCGUUGGUUUGAGCUAAGUAUUUUCUUCUCAAUUAUUAGGAUUGUUGUUGCUGUCUCCAACAAAUCACACGCAGAGCAACUUGAAAUCGUUCAUUCUCUCUCAGACAUUAAAAGUUUCUGUCUACAGAUCUAUACAGCACUUCGGAUUAUAGCGCGGUUUUUCUUUUCGUCACUCUCCAAAAGACUCAUAGGAGAUCCUUUUUUCACCCCUCUCUCUGAAAUUUCAAUUCCAAACGGUGUUUCAUUAAUUUGGAUUUUUGAUGUUCUUAUUUUCUUAUUCUUGUAGGUAUUUUUCUAUCUGAAGAUGCAAUUUGAAGAAGAGUAAGUUUCAAUCCAUAUUAUUUUUCUUUUCUUUUAGAGUUUCUGUGGUUUUGGCAAGAUUUUUUUUUUCUGUAUUUGGUUCUCAUGUUUGAUUGUUGUUUUAUUGAUACAUAUGGUUUUGCAUUCGUGAGUUGUUCUUCUGCGGUAUGAUUUGGUUUGAAAUUUAGAAGUUGUUGUAGGGUUGUUAUGUUUGAUAUUGGUGAUACACAAUUGAUUUCAUGAUCUUGUGUUAUAAUAGUUGUUGAAUUGCAGUAGGAGAUACUUAAGUCCAAAUCAUUGGGCUUGUGAUAGUUCUGUUUGUAUUUGGGUAGUUUAUCUUUGUGUGUCGGUUUGUGUUGUCUCAAGGUGCAAUUCCUUCUUAAAUUACAGUUUGUAUUAUGUUUUGAAUUAUUGAUAAAUACCUAGUGGCUAGUGGCAGUGCCUCAUUCCACUGUUCUUCGUACCAAAAAUGUCAACAUCUUUAUAUUUCCAAUCUGCUGUUGUUAUUACUUCUCCGGUGUGAUCAGUGAGUACUUCCUAUUUGGAUAUACAUUUAACUAUACAUACACCUACUACUUGAAAAUCCUAAGCAACAAAAGAAUGUUUAAUUGAUUAUACACAUAUGUGCCCAUAAAAUCUCACUGGUGACUUGUUUCACAUGGGCUGAUUGGCUUUAGCCAGUGGGAAUGUUAACUCUCCAGGACGUGUGGAGAAGAAAAACUUAACAACUGUUUAAUUUGGUCCGUAGCAGCUCUUGUGGGUGUAGCAAAUGAAGUUUGAUCAUGAACUACCAGUACUCCUGCAAUUAGAUUGGAUUCACUUAUAUUUUAGUUUCUUUUUGAAAUUUUGUUUUUUUAUUUUGGUUUUGUUUGUUGUUCUACUUCUACAUCCAUAUGAAUAUGUUGUUGUACCAAGUUUUGUUUAGUGGUUGUCUAGCUUUCUUGUGACUAGUCAGUGAGCUUAUAGAGGAAACUUUGUUGUUUUAUACAUGAUGGAAAAUCAACAAAACUGGAGCAAGGCCAGCAUUCCAAUUCCAUAUCUACUGGUAAAUACUGAACUGUUUGUUCAUUACUGCUGUGUUUAGAUGUAUUUUUGGUUAACAUUGUACAAAAUGCUUACAUUUCCCUCUAAGCAACUGAUGUCCUUGAGGAGAGAAAGGUUCGAGGUGAUACUAACUCUUCCAUGUUAGUAUGAUAUUUCUCUUAGAGUCCAGGAUUGCAUGGUUUUAUUUUCUUCAUAAAAAAUAAGAUUUUUUAAGAUGGUUAUAGGUAGAACAAGGUUUCUAUUUCCAAGAUGGUUUUCUUGUUAAUUUGAACUAUGGUAUUGUUUGGUGCUGAAUUCUUCUAGUUCUUGAUAUUUAUACCUUUUGUUGGCAGUAAAUAAAAUCGGAGAGCUCAUUUUAUCCAAUUUGUUAUGAUUAAUCAAUUGACCCCUUCAAGCUUCCAUUAGACGUGAUGAUUCUCUACAUUGAUAUUCCUUUUGCUUGGCAGUCUUUGUUCUGAUUUGUUUAGCAGGUUCACGUGGCCUAGGAACGAACAUCUUUGUUCUGAUUUGUUUAGCAGGUUCACGUGGCCUAGGAACGGACAUCUGGGAUUGGUUUCCUUGGCCGUCUGAGAGUUGAUUUAACAAGGACAGGCCAAGUCUACCUUCGAGUUGGGUUGAUACUAAAAUCCGAGGUUCUGUAAAAUAAUUUGUUUCUUUCCUUAUGGUGAAGUGGGAUUCAUUAUACCUUGUAACAGAUAUUUUUUUUUUAAUGAAAUUUAAAUUCUUUGUUUUUAAUUCAAA